rnacentral:rRNA from 1 species
AUUGAACGCUGGCGGCAGGCCUAACACAUGCAAGUCGAACGGCAACAGGAAGAAGCUUGCUUCUUUGCUGACGAGUGGCGGACGGGUGAGUAAUGUCUGGGAAACUGCCUGAUGGAGGGGGAUAACUACUGGAAACGGUAGCUCAUACCGCAUAACGUCGCAAGACCAAAGAGGGGGACAUUCGGGCCUCUUGCCAUCGGAUGUGCGCAGAUGGGAUUAGCUAGUUGGCGGGGUAACGGCCCACCAAGGGGACGAGCCGCAGCUGGUCUGAGAGGAUGACAAGCCACAAUGGAACUGAGACACGGUCCAGACUCCUACGGGAGGCAGCAGUGGGGAAUAUUGGACAAUGGGCGCAAGCCUGAUCCAGCCAUACCGCGUGGGUGAAGAAGGCCUUCGGGUUGUAAAGCCCUUUUGUUGGGAAAGAAAAGCAGCAGGUUAAUACCCCGCUGUUCUGACGGGACCCAAAGAAUAAGCACCGGCUAACUUCGUG